rnacentral:tRNA from 1 species
GGAGAGGUGGCCGAGUGGUCGAAGGCGCUCGCCUGCUAAGUGAGUAUACGCCAAAAGCGUAUCGCGGGUUCGAAUCCCGUCCUCUCCGCCA